GGCCAGACUCCUACGGGAGGCAGCAGUGGGGAAUAUUGCACAAUGGGGGGAACCCUGAUGCAGCGACGCCGCGUGAGUGAAGAAGUAUUUCGGUAUGUAAAGCUCUAUCAGCAGGGACGAAGAUGACGGUACCUGCAGAAGAAGCCCCGGCUAACUACGUGCCAGCAGCCGCGGUAAUACGUAGGGGGCAAGCGUUAUCCGGAUUUACUGGGUGUAAAGGGGGCGCAGACGGCGAUGCAAGCCAGGAGUGAAAGCCCGGGGCCCAACCCCGGGACUGCUCUUGGAACUGCGUGGCUAGAGUGCAGGAGGGGCAGGCGGAAUUCCUGGUGUAGCGGUGAAAUGCGUAGAUAUCAGGAGGAACACCGGUGGCGAAGGCGGCCUGCUGGACUGCAACUGACGUUGAGGCCCGAAAGCGUGGGGAGCAAACAGGAUUAGAUACCCCCGUAC
rnacentral:rRNA from 1 species